rnacentral:rRNA from 1 species
AGAGUUUGAUCCUGGCUCAGAACGAACGCUGGCGGCAGGCUUAACACAUGCAAGUUGAACGGGAUUAAUUUAGUGCUUGCACUAAAUUAUGAGAGUAGCGCACGGGUGAGUAAUACAUGGGAACCUAUCCUGAAGUGGGGGACAACAGUUGGAAACGACUGCUAAUACCGCAUACGCCCUGAGGGGGAAAGAUUUAUCGCUUUAGGCAGGGCCCAUGGCAGAUUAGGCAGUUGGUGAGGUAACGGCUCACCAAACCGACGAUCUGUAGCUGGUCUGAGAGGACGAUCAGCCACACUGGAACUGAGACACGGUCCAGACUCCUACGGGAGGCAGCAGUGAGGAAUAUUGGGCAAUGGGGGCAACCCUGACCCAGCCAUGCCGCGUGAGUGAAGAAGGUUUUCGGAUUGUAAAGCUCUUUCGGAUGUGACGAUGAUGACGGUAGCAUCUAAAGAAGCCCCGGCAAACUUCGUGCCAGCAGCCGCGGUAAUACGAAGGGGGCAAGCGUUGUUCGGAAUUACUGGGCGUAAAGGGUGUGUAGGCGGUUAUGUAAGAUAGCGGUGAAAUGCCGGGGCUCAACCUCGGAAUUGCCUUUAUGACUAUAUAACUAGAAUAAUGGAGAGGAUAUCGGAAUACCCAGUGUAGAGGUGAAAUUCGUAGAUAUUGGGUAGAACACCAGUGGCGAAGGCGGGUAUCUGGCCAUUUAUUGACGCUGAGGCACGAAAGCAUGGGGAUCAAACAGGAUUAGAUACCCUGGUAGUCCAUGCUGUAAACGAUGAAUGCUGGUUGUCGGUUUAGGAUCGGUGACGAAGUUAACGCAUUAAGCAUUCCGCCUGGGGAGUACGGUCGCAAGAUUAAAACUCAAAGGAAUUGACGGGGACCCGCACAAGCGGUGGAGCAUGUGGUUUAAUU